AUGCGGCUCACCGGUUCUUUCUGCAGUGCCAUUCUUGGAUGGUGCAUCCAAUCCAACUGCAUCGUGCUUUUAAUCAUUCCAAUAAAUUUGCGAUUAUCGACAUCACCAGCAGCAUUUGGUCGGUACUUCUAUAUUGUAACACAUUUAUAUUCCUCAAGGAUUGGUUCGUGUGCAUUGCCUUCCAGAGGCCUCUGUACCGUAUGUGUUUUUUUUGUUGACCAUGGACUGUACUGUUUCUGUUGUUUAAGCUACACACUCUUAGUAGUAAUUUCCUGUAAAGGUAUGUAUUAUUUGUAUCGAACAUCUUGUGUGAUUAAUCAUGUCAAACAUUUCAUUUUGUAA
rnacentral:rRNA from 1 species